rnacentral:rRNA from 1 species
AACGAACGCUGGCGGCAUGCCUAACACAUGCAAGUCGAACGAGACCUUCGGGUCUAGUGGCGCACGGGUGCGUAACGCGUGGGAACCUGCCCUUAGGUUCGGAAUAACUCCCCGAAAGGGGUGCUAAUACCGGAUAAUGUCUUCGGACCAAAGAUUUAUCGCCUUUGGAUGGGCCCGCGUUGGAUUAGCUAGUUGGUAGGGUAAAAGCCUACCAAGGCGACGAUCCAUAGCUGGUCUGAGAGGAUGAUCAGCCACACUGGGACUGAGACACGGCCCAGACUCCUACGGGAGGGAGCAGUGGGGAAUAUUGGACAAUGGGCGAAAGCCUGAUCAAGCAAUGCCGCGUGAGUGAUGAAGGCCUUAGGGUUGUAAAGCUCUUUUACCCGGGAUGAUAAUGACAGUACCGGGAGAAUAAGCUCCGGCUAACUACGUG